rnacentral:tRNA from 633 species
GGGCCUAUAGCUCAGUCGGUUAGAGCAGCGGACUCAUAAUCCGUUGGUCCACAGUUCGAGUCUGUGUGGGCCCACCA